AGGGAGAAAGAAGUCCAGAGGAACGGCCCUGGGUGCUGGGCUUUUCCAAAGGUGAUGCAACAGGGUCAGACAGAAGAGGAGGAGGUGGUGGGAGCUCCUGGGAAAGAAAAAACCAGUCUUGGUGUUGGAAAUCUAAGGGGAAACGGCUUAGCAGGACUGGUGGCAGCGUUAUUUAGGACGGGCAGGGGCACAGGAUCUGGGAGAGGAGGGCGGUCAGAGGCCUGGAGGAAGGGGCACGGGCCCAAAGGCAGGAGGAAGCAGAGAGAAGACAGCUGGUUCGGGCAGGCUUCCUUUGCUGGAGCACCCCAGCAAAGAAGAUUAGACAUCUGAAUCAGCUAUGUAAGGCAAAACCUACCGCGUGCUCAGAGACUCAGCGUCCUCACUGAAUGCGUCAUCACGACUGAUGAAGCAUAAGAGAAAACAAGAGAAACUGAAGAUCAUCUAUAUUUGGUUUUAGCAAAGAAUCACAAAUAAAUAUUAAAAUACACACUCAUAAAG